rnacentral:rRNA from 1 species
AUUGAACGCUGGCGGCAUGCCUUACACAUGCAAGUCGAACGGUAACGCGGGGCAACCUGGCGACGAGUGGCGAACGGGUGAGUAAUGCAUCGGAACGUGCCCAGUAGUGGGGGAUAGCCCGGCGAAAGCCGGAUUAAUACCGCAUACGACCUACGGGUGAAAGCGGGGGACCGUAAGGCCUCGCGCUGUUGGAGCGGCCGAUGUCAGAUUAGGUAGUUGGUGGGGUAAAGGCCUACCAAGCCUUCGAUCUGUAGCUGGUCUGAGAGGACGACCAGCCACACUGGGACUGAGACACGGCCCAGACUCCUACGGGAGGCAGCAGUGGGGAAUUUUGGACAAUGGGCGCAAGCCUGAUCCAGCCAUGCCGCGUGCGGGAAGAAGGCCUCGGUGUAACG